rnacentral:rRNA from 1 species
AGCAGCCGCGGUAAUUCCAGCUCCAAUAGCGUAUAUUAAAGUUGUUGCAGUUAAAAAGCUCGUAGUUGAAUUUCGGGAUCAAUAUGUUGGUCGUGCCUUGGUACGUACUGGCAUUAUCGAUUCCUACCUUCUGAAGAAUCUCGAUGUCAUUAAUUUGGUGUCUUGGGGAAUCAGGACUGUUACUUUGAAAAAAUUAGAGUGUUUAAAGCAGGCUCACGCUUGAAUACAUUAGCAUGGAAUAAUGAAAUAGGACGUUUGAUUCUAUUUUGUUGGUUUCUAGGAUCGACGUAAUGAUUAAUAGGGAUAGUUGGGGGCAUUAGUAUUCAAUUGUCAGAGGUGAAAUUCUUGGAUUUAUUGAAGACUAACUACUGCGAAAGCAUUUGCCAAGGAUGUUUUCAUUAAUCAAGAACGAAAGUUAGGGGAUCGAAGACGAUCAGAUACCGUCGUAGUCUUAACCAUAAACUAUGCCGACUAGGGAUCGGAUGAUGUUAAUUUUUUAAUGACUCAUUCGGCGCCUUACG